GACAAAGAAAGCUUGUUUGGGGUCCCCGCAGCCCUGGGCGCCUGGGGGUGGCUAGAAGUGGGAGGGAGAGCAGGGAUGGUCUGCCCGGGGGGGAUGCUGGGAAACGGCGGCUUCCACCUGCUGGACCAGAUCCCUUUACAGACCUAGUGGAUUUGUUGUAAAACCACCUCAAAAGGCACCCGAGCCUUGGGAGAUCGUGCUCUCCCCGUCACUAGCGGACCCCUCAGGGAGGCUCUAGAGGGGACUCCUGCUGGCGGAGAAGGGAUAGAGAAGAAAAUACUCCAUGUGCGGGAGACAGGGUGACUGUCCCUCCCUCUGGGGCUGUGGCGGAGGCUGGUGGUCCCGGUUAGAGCCGUCCCUCCCUCGGGCUGUGAGGGAGGCUGGUGGUCUCCGUUGGGAGGCCAACAAGAGCAGGACCAGCGGGUCUGGGGGACUCCUUCCACCUCCGAAAUCCUGGUGUUCCUCAGGCUCCUGACCCCGGAGCUAGAAGAACUCCAGUCCCUCCUUCCUCCCGCAUCUAAAACGAGGGUGCUGAGGUCCACGGAGGUCACCUGCCUGUCCCACAAGUGAGGCUCCGAGCCUCUGACGCCCGAUCCCCGCCUCUCGGCCUCUACCUAAGCCUCCAGCAGCGGAGACCCUCCCCCAGACCCCUCCUCCCUCCGUGGCUGGGCUCCGCCGUUCCGGCGCCUCCACAGCCCGGCAGUGGGUGCCCGCGGCUGGCUCCGCGCGCCCGGCUUGGCUCCUGCGCCCCACUGUGAGGCGGCCGGCCGGCAGCUCCUUCCCGGAGGAGACUCUCUGCGCCCGCUGGCUCCUGGGUGGGGGUCCCUUCCUCAGCGGCCGGGAGGCAGUGAAGGCUGCGCCACGCCCCCCUCACCACUACCCCCUCCCCCCCCUUCCAUCUUCUCUUUCUGGCGUUUGGGUUAGAGACGCAGCAGCAAGAGCUCCCUCGGGCAUCCCACUGACCCUGCAUUUGAAACCCGACAAAACGAGCUGUUUGGGGGACAAGGGCGACCUCGAAGAGGUGACUGUGGCUCCCGGGGCACAGCCGGCCAGGGGCGCGCAUGGGCACCGGGACAGGGCUUUCUGGGUAGGGGGGGAGAGAAUGGCCAGGGCCUGGGGGGGGGGUGACAGGAGGGACUUGGGCUUUCUGGAGGCCCCGGAUCUUGUCCCCUGCAGGCUGCAGGUGUCCCUGGUCCGAGGGAUGGAGACAGCGGCAUUUCUGGUGACCCCGUGAGGAAGGCAGGAAAGCAGCAUUUACCUGGGGCCUGUCAUGUGCCCGGCAGGGUCUCUCUCCUCUGACAGCUGUGGAAACUGAGGCAGCAGAGGCGCCCAGGACGGCACCAGGAGGCAGUGUCAGAAGCUGACUCAAACCGCGCCUCCCUACCUGUGCCCCUCCUCUGGCAGCUCGUGAAUGAUGCUCAGGGCCAGCUGGUCAGGGAGGCAGAGCCACAAAAGGACCUCUCAGGGGAAUGGGGUCCAGGGACCCUCUCCCCGCCUUUUUUUUUAAACAAAGAGAGUAGGGUGAGCUCUCCAAAGGAGCACCCCAGGAUCCCGGCUGUUCAAAAGCUCCCGGAAAAGCUCUUGCCCUUCUGCUUCGGACUGGCUAGCGCUUCCAAGGGGAGGGAUCCCCAAAGCCCAGGGCUGCUCACUGGAGAAUCGCGGCUCCUGGGUCAUCCCUCAUCACUUAUGCUGUUAGGAAGGGAGCAACUUACUGGCUCACCCCCAAAGGGUCAUGGGAUGCUCAGGAAGCAGGUCCCAGGCCCACAGAAGGGUUCUGCCCCUGGCCAAGGGACCAGAGGAACUCCCCCGGCUCCCAUCAUCCCUCCCCAAAUUAAAAUCAGAGCACAAAAUCCAGCUUUCUUGCCAAUUUCCUCAAGAAAAAGGAAACCUCAUUAUGCUAUUUCCAGAUUUUUUUCUCCUUUUUUUCCUAAUAUUAAGGAGGAGGAUCUGCAGAAGCUGGGCUGCCUUCAACUCCCCUGCCCUUUCUGUCCCUGAGAUGGAGAAAAAUCUGUCUCUGUCUCUUUCUUUCUGACUCUGUCUUUCUCUUUUUAAUGUUUUUUCCCUUUGUUUUGUUUUUGUUUUUGCUGAGGCAAUCGGGGUUACAUGACUUGCUUGGGGUCACGCAGCUUUUUUGAGUUUUUAAAACCUUUUCUUCAGGAGGUGCCCUUUGACUGAGGACCGUUAUGUUACAUGGACAUAAUUGAAUAUGACGGUACCAUAAGAAUUGAGGAACACGAAGAGUUCCCAGAAUCCCAGAGUAGCUACAGAACAAAAUAAGCAGAAUCAGGAAAAUAUGAGACACCUCAACUAAAAUCACCGAAAUGGAAAGAAUAACAAAAACUGAACAAUUGAAACUGAAUGAUGGAAACUUUGAGUAAUAGCCCCAGCGGGCCUGGCUCGGUGCUAAGUGAUCUCAUGCCAUCCUCGUGGUCCUGAUGCGAGAGGAGGCAGCUCGUUCCUUCCUUCCAGAGGUGGAGGACUAUGGGAGGUGGAGGACUAUGGGAAGUGGAGGACUAUGGGAGGUGGAGGACUAUGGGAAGUGGAGGACUAUGGGAGGUGGAAGACUAUGGGAAGUGGAGGACUAUGGGAGGUGGAGGACUAUGGGAAGUGGAGGACUAUGGGAGGUGGAGGACUAUGGGAGGUGGAAGACUAUGGGAAGUGGAGGACUAUGGGAGGUGGAGGACUAUGGGAGGUGGAGGACUAUGGGAGGUGGAGGACUAUGGGAGGUGGAGGACUAUGGGAGGUGGAGGACUAUGGGAGGUGGAAGACUAUGGGAAGUGGAGGACUAUGGGAGGUGGAGGACUAUGGGAAGUGGAGGACUAUGGGAGGUGGAGGACUAUGGGAGGUGGAAGACUAUGGGAAGUGGAGGACUAUGGGAGGUGGAGGACUAUGGGAAGUGGAGGACUAUGAGUGUGAAACCCUGCAUACACCCAGAUGUGACUGGACUGCUCUAAUUCCCUUUUUUAUUCUUGGUACAGAGAUGGCUUUCUGGGGACACAAGGGGCCAUAUUUGGAAAUGGAGGCAAAGUAAAAAAUAUCUGAAUCAAGACAGAUCCAGAGCAGGAGGAGGAUCUGAACCAACCCCCCUUUCUCCAGGUCAUUACCAAAUGCUCACUAUUUGUGCCUGAGCCGUGGCUUGUGCCAUCUGAUGGGCCACGCUCACCGGCUCUGACCCAGUGACACCGUCUGGGUGCCCUCCAGCGGCUCCGGCCCCCAGUAAGGGGCGCUUGCCCUCCCGGAGGCACCGGGCAGCAGGCUGAGGCUUUUCCCUGCCUCCUGUGGGCAAACUGCCAGGGUAAGCAAUAUCCCUGGGAGCCACGGGCAGGGCCCUUUGUCUGCCAUCCUUCAGCCCUGGGAGGGGCUGCCCAGAGGAAACCCUACCAUGAAUGGGCAGGGAAUUCUCGCUGAGCAGAGGGAAAUCCUGGGUAAUGACUGGGGUGGGGCCCGGGAGGUGGGGAGCCUGCUCAGCCGCCAAGCCCUUAAUCUCUACCCACGCAGCCAGGGGUCAGGGAAGCGGCCUUCCUCGGGGAUGCUUCCAGGCCGGCUCGGCUCCUUCUAGCUGUGUGGGAGCCAGGGAACCGGGAAAGCCUGAGCUCGGCUGCUUGGGACCUCCUUGCGGGCUCUUAAAGCUCUUCUUCUAGUCUGAAUUUAACAGAGGUCCCUGAUAAAGUGGGCAUUUCUGCGCCCACAGCGAAAGAGAGCGCCGUGGAACGGUGGGCCUCCGCAGGCCAGCUCGCUCCCCUCAGUACGGGCCAGGCCCUCUGCCCGUCCGGCCUUCCGUCUUUGAACUUGAACCUGAGACCCCCCUUCCUGGUGACCCCCCAAGACUCUAUGAAUGAUGCUCCUUAUAACCAAUCCAGGUGGCCAGGAGUGUGAGAGCUUCCUCCUCUCUCCUAAUACAACCCAACCAAGGGGCCCCUGGGAUCGGCGCCCACAAUCUGGCCGAGAGUCCAGGACAACUCUCCCAUGGCUGAUUAGCCCGUGGGCAUGGGUGUGGAGGCAGUGCGAGCAGAGAGCUGGUCUCAUGGGGGAGACUGGGGUCCCCAGCCUGGCCAGUGCCGGGGGAGGUGGGGUCCGCCAUGCUGGUCUCGAGCCUCCCCUCAGGUCCAAUCCCAUCACACGGCCGCCCCUACGCAAUUAACCAGAGCUCCCUCUGGCCUCCAAGAUCAAACUGGCAUCCAAAGCCCCUCCUUAGAAGGGACCAGUCUUCUUCCACUUACUUCCUCCCACACGCUCCGGACACUAUGAACAAUAGUCAUUCCCGGUGUUUCCUGCGCUGUCCCUGCCAUGGGGAACCCGGGCCCUCCUCGGCUCCCCCUCCCCGAAUCCGCAGUAACAUCUCCCCUUCUGGGAGAAGGGGCCUUUAGUCCCCCCUCGGCUCCCCCUCCCCGAGUCCGCAGUAACAUCUCCCCUUCUGGGAGAAGGGGCCUUUAGUUCCCCUUCGGUUCCCCCUCCCCGAGUCCGCAGUAACAUCUCCCCUUCUGGGAAAAGGGGCCUUUAGUCCCCCCUCGGCUCCC